UGGGGAAUAUUGGACAAUGGGCGAAAGCCUGAUCCAGCCAUGCCGCGUGUGUGAAGAAGGUCUUCGGAUUGUAAAGCACUUUAAGUUGGGAGGAAGGGCAGUAAGUUAAUACCUUGCUGUUUUGACGUUACCGACAGAAUAAGCACCGGCUAACUUCGUGCCAGCAGCCGCGGUAAUACGAAGGGUGCAAGCGUUAAUCGGAAUUACUGGGCGUAAAGCGCGCGUAGGUGGUUUGAUAAGUUGGAUGUGAAAGCCCCGGGCUCAACCUGGGAAUUGCAUCCAAAACUGUCUGACUAGAGUAUGGCAGAGGGUGGUGGAAUUUCCUGUGUAGCGGUGAAAUGCGUAGAUAUAGGAAGGAACACCAGUGGCGAAGGCGACCGCCUGGGCUAAUACUGACACUGAGGUGCGAAAAGCGUGGGGAGCAAACAAGGAUUAGAUACCCUGGUAGUCCACGCCGUAAACGAUGUCGACUAGCCGUUGGGAUCCUUGAGAUCUUAGUGGCGCAGCUAACGCAUUAAGUCGACCGCCUGGGGG
rnacentral:rRNA from 1 species